rnacentral:lncRNA from 1 species
GAGAGCAAAUCGGUUCCAAGGGCUCCUUUUUAUAAAAUGGGGAAACACAGCGGCACUCCUUCUUCCUUCCCAAAGACGGAUGUGUUUCAUCCCUGCCUAUCUGGAGCUGCUGUUCUAGUAUGGCACAGGCAGAUCGCCCAUCUCUGAAGAGCAAGAUGGGCGUGUACCCGGUUUCACUUUCACUGCAGACAGGAGAGUCUGUACACAAAGAAAUCUGAUGCUGUCAGGCCCAAGCAUUGGCCAGGAAAGGACUCAGUACAGACAGGACCACUCAGAGAAACAGAUUUUUUUUCCCUAGCUGGUUUUAGGUCAACGACAAUAAAACGUGAAUUCUGGAGAUUCAAAACCUCAAAUCUUCAACUUUUCACCUCGCACUUUUAUUCCUGGGACAAAAACUUGCUCAGCACAUCUCUUCCUAAAUUCCAAGACAGGCUGCUUGUUCUGUUCAGUCAAGAAUGCCAACCCAAGAAACAUUUUUGAAAGAUCACAGUCAACGUCAUUGCCAAAAGAAGAAGCUCUUGGCACACAAAGAACCUGGUUCAAUAUGAGAUGCCAGAUGGUGAUUUCAACUUCAGCUAAAUUCCUGCUGAGAAGUAUUUGAACUGCAGAUGAGAAAAUCUUCUGUGACAAAUUUCCAAGUGUUAGAAGCUUCAGAGGAAAAUGGCAAGUGUUGAUACCCUCUCUCCCCGCAACCACCACCACCAACCACAUGCACACAUACCAUGGAACAUACCUGCAUCUGGUAGCUAAGAUUCCAACAGAUGCCUCUGCCUUUUAAAAAGCCUAUGGACCCUGAUUUGAUUUUUACUAAAAGUAUAUUAACUGAGUCCAUUGGAAGCAAAUACCAUUUGAUUAAUAUGCAGUGCUUUUUCAAAGGGUGCGUUCCCUUAGCAUCGGAGAUAACUCUUUCCUGUCUUCCAAUAAUUCUGUUGUUAAUUGAUAAUUAAUUGAUAGUCAACUGAUACUCAGUGUAUCUCCCCUCCCUAGAUACUUUCAAAUUCCAGGAGAUACAUGUGAGGCAUAAAUUGAUGGUGCUCUGCCUGGAUGACCUUGAAUCUCUUUUGCUGGUUCUGUGUGCCCACACCCCAGCUUCAGUGUAUUUUGCUUUCUAAUGAUUAGCUUCUGCAACUAUCUUCAGAGGGUUGCCCUUGAACUACUGAAUUUCACCUGUUUGCACAGAGAACUGAAAGUGCCUGGGAGCUUACUGUGGCCCUGAGAUGCCCACAGCCAAUGAGUCACUGGUACAGGAAAUUGAAAGCCCAGCUCCCCCGAAUCAAGUCUGGGAAAAUUCUGAGGUGUAAUAUAUGCUCCAGAGCUCCAGUCAGCAAUAGGCUGAGACUGGGACUCUGCCUGAAUAACACUUGCACUUGGCUUUUUCCCUCCUUCUUUCCCUGUGUUGCUCCUGCCUCCCCACAUACCCCCUUGGAGGUCUCUCCUGUAACACAUCUUUCAUAUAACUCAUGUACAAAUUCUCGUCUUGGGAUCUGCUUCUGGGAAACUGACCUGUGAUGAUUCUGGGCAAUGGAAAAGUUCGAGUAUCCUGCUAAUAAAGAAAACAGAAAUUCUUUCUAGAACAAGGAACAUAUGCGUGCCUACUUUAUCAAUCAAAGUCUCAGAAGGAAAUAGUGGAUAAAGUCAAAGUAGGUAUUUGGAGAAAGAGUAGUAAUAAAGGGACUAUUUCCAAAGGUGUGGACUGGGUUCAGAGAGACAAGGAUAAGUGCCCACCUGGAAGCUAGGACCAGGAUGUGCCAUUGCCAACUCUAGGCCUCACUGGUAAAAGGAGAGUGUGGCUUUGCAAGCUGGUGACAGAAAUGUGUGGAGAGGCUGUGAGACAGGAGCUGUGACUUUACAGGUUGCAGCCAGCCUGCAGAGACCCUGCAAGGAGUUAGCACCAACCUUAUGCUCCAUCUUGCCUCCAAUCUUGUCAGCGCUACCCCAUCAGCUGAACAUAAUGGGAACUAGGGCUUGAGGGAGCCUGUUAAUGUAGUACAUCUAGGGUUAGCCUCUUGGGGCACACAGCAGGUGGAGAAGAGUAGGGAGAGGAUCUGAAGGGACAAACAGAAGCUUUCCAGCAGCACACUUGCCUACCUAUCUUACACACACACAGUUUGGCUGGUUCU